GUGACCAUGACAAUAGGAGCCAAUCCUCGCACACC
rnacentral:tRNA from 1 species